GAGGAGUGAUGAUGCUGAGAAGAGGUUUCGCUCAAUGAGCUGAUGACCCGUGAUGUCACAUAUUCUCUUGGCUGUCUGACCAA